UGAAGUUCUUUAUGGAAACAAACAAACGUUUGUUCAGACAAACGAACUUGUCUGAACAAGUUCGUGCCGGUGUUAUUUGUGGCAGUAGCAUAUCAACGUUGCAUUUCUUGCCUGAGAUAGAAGAGGUGAAGAAGAAAUGGUUGGAAUUUAUCUUUGGAGCACCACCAGCAAAGUAUAAUGCAAUGUUAGUACUGUGUUCUGAUCAUUUCAACCACAGUGACUUUUCAAACUUCGGUGCCUUCAGUAGUGGUUUUGCUUUGAGGUUGUUUUUAAUACCUGGAUCUGUACCGUCAAAACGAUCAACCACCAGCUCACAAGCUGAGGAAACUGGAACAUCCAGAGGAAACUCACGCAGGCACAAUGAGAACAUGCAAACUCUACACAGAAAGGCUCCAGUUGGCAGUGUGGUUCGAACCCAGAACCUUCUUGCGAUGAGGCAACAGCAGAGGUGGACAGUAACGAGGUGACACUGAGACAGCCUAUCAGUAAUCACUAGGGUCACGUCACGUACAUAGACUAUAAAAUCAAGUUCAAUGAUUUCUCAGCAGUAUUAUUUGAACUCGAUCAGCUGAUGGCAGAAUGGAAGGAGGCAGUUCUGGGGAAUACAUGCACAUACCUCGAACCCAUGUUUCAGUUUUCUGAAAGGAAUAAAGAUUCACUUAGUUUUAAA